rnacentral:tRNA from 1 species
GGAGAGGUGGCAGAGUGGUCGAACGCGCCGCACUCGAAAUGCGGUGUACGGGCAACCGUACCGUGGGUUCGAAUCCCACCCUCUCCG